rnacentral:lncRNA from 1 species
GCACAGCCUGACUAAACCAGACAAGCUUCCGCCAGGUUACUGUGCCCUUCUUACUUCGCAGAUAACUCCAAGUACUUGCUGAAUAGAGCCUAUCUUUGAAAGGUCAUGAUCAUAGCGCCACAGUACUAUAUCUGGUCCAGCUAGAAGGUUAGGCAGAUCGAAAGCAUUUAUUUUCUCAUAGAUGAUUGGGAAGUUCUGAUGACCCUUACUGUGAAUCUUCCAACCGUUCUCACCCACCACAUCAGCAAGAGUUUCCUGGCGAGCAACUCCAAAGUACCUUGUCCCUAUUUCCCCUGUAAUUUCCAGCACCUUCCCCAAUCCUAGCCAGUUAUUAAACAAAAAAAAACACACAUCUCCCAUCAUUUACUUCAAAUCUCAGGCAUUCAUACUCCAAAGGACGGAGCUUUAAGAGCUUAUGCCAGGCCCAAGAGUCCGCAGAGCCCUCC